CAGAGAGGAGACAUUCUGACUGGAGACUUUCAGUUCGCCCACCACUGCUGGGUGUUUUAAGCAUUUCAGUUUGGCAGUAAACAUAAAAAGUUUAGUUACAGAGGCGUAAGCCUGGAAUACUCAGUGACGGGCUCACUGCCAUGAAUAAUUGUGACAAAACAACAGCUGCUACGAGAUCAUGAGGCAGUGAGCCCCACCUCAGUACACUUGUGUCCCACCUAAGGACUUUCCAAAGUUCGGGGAAACCAGGCCAGCUGAGCGUUCAAAUCGACACUCCCAUCACACUCCAGGUACCUCAAAGAAAGUUGAAAGAAGGUGAUUCAAAUUGCCAGGAAGAGUUUGGGAACAUCCACACUGCCAAUCAGUUUUUUAAAACAAAAUUUUUAAAAAGGCAUAAUCUAUCCACGGAACAAGACUACGUCAGCACCACAAAUAAUCAAGGACAAAUCACACACAACGAAGGAAGUGCUCAUCACUGCUACCCGUUUUGUGCACACAAGACAGUCCCUAUCUCUCAACUAGGAACGUCAGCCACUUUAGGCUUUUGAAUGUUGGUCUUUCUCCUGUUGUCUUCUACCUACUGACUUUUCAAUCAGCUCUCCUCCUGUGGCCGGAUCCAUUUCACGGCAUAUCACUCCCACCUCAGAAGACUGGGUCACAGAAGUUAUUUCAGGACUCAUAAGUGAGCAAAGGCCUCAAGCUCAAAUAUUAGCUGAAUGACUGAAUAAUUACUAUAGGUAUGGUCCUCUGGACAAGCAAUCUGCCUAAUAUCUCAGGGAAGGAAAGGCCACAGAACUGCAAGCUGUAAGAGAGAUUACCUACACUAACCAAAUCAGGUUCUGACUGAGGAGGGUAAGGGAGUUCAGCAAAGCGAAAGAGACCAACUACCUCCAUUUUGACCUUCAUCUGUACUUGGUAAGUGAUUAAGUUCUUCUUUCCAGCUUGACUCUUAACUCUGGCAAAAGACCCUGCAGGCAAAGCAUUUUCUAAUGGGAACUGAAACUAUCCCCUCAAGCAAUAAGGACCACCCUGAGCCAGCAAGACUUGGCCCGUGACAGUGAUCAACCAGACCUUUACUGCCCACCCAUGCAUGUACCCACUGACUUUUGUCCCACAUUUUCCUCAUAUAAACCUGGGAGUAUCUUCAGCACUUUGGAGACAGUCUUUGAGAUGCAUGAGUCCCCUGUCUUCUUAGUGUGUUGGCCUCACUGAAAUAAAUUCCUGUCUUGUUUCACCACCA